GAUGAACGCUGGCGGCGUGCCUAAUACAUGCCAGUCGAGCGAACAGACGAGGAGCUUGCUCCUCUGACGUUAGCGGCGGACGGGUGAGUAACACGUGGAUAACCUACCUAUAAGACUGGGAUAACUUCGGGAAACCGGAGCUAAUACCGGAUAAUAUAGUGAACCGCAUGGUUCAAUAGUGAAAGACGGUUUUGCUGUCACUUAUAGAUGGAUCCGCGCCGCAUUAGCUAGUUGGUAAGGUAACGGCUUACCAAGGCAACGAUGCGUAGCCGACCUGAGAGGGUGAUCGGCCACACUGGAACUGAGACACGGUCCAGACUCCUACGGGAGGCAGCAGUAGGGAAUCUUCCGCAAUGGGCGAAAGCCUGACGGAGCAACGCCGCGUGAGUGAUGAAGGUCUUCGGAUCGUAAAACUCUGUUAUUAGGGAAGAACAAAUGUGUAAGUAACUAUGCACGUCUUGACGGUACCUAAUCAGAAAGCCACGGCUAACUACGUG
rnacentral:rRNA from 1 species